CCGAACCGACUAAUGUUGAAAAAUUAGCGGAUGACCUGUGGCUGGGGGUGAAAGGCCAAUCAAACCGGGAGAUAGCUGGUUCUCCCCGAAAGCUAUUUAGGUAGCGCCUCGUGAAUUCAUCUCCGGGGGUAGAGCACUGUUUCGGCUAGGGGGCCAUCCCGGCUUACCAACCCGAUGCAAACUGCGAAUACCGGAGAAUGUUAUCACGGGAGACACACGGCGGGUGCUAACGUCCGUCGUGAAGAGGGAAACAACCCAGACCGCCAGCUAAGGUCCCAAAGUCAUGGUUAAGUGGGAAACGAUGUGGGAAGGCCCAGACAGCCAGGAUGUUGGCUUAGAAGCAGCCAUCAUUUAAAGAAAGCGUAAUAGCUCACUGGUCGAGUCGGCCUGCGCGGAAGAUGUAACGGGGCUAAACCAUGCACCGAAGCUGCGGCAGCGACACUGUGUGUUGUUGGGUAGGGGAGCGUUCUGUAAGCCUGUGAAGGUGUGUCGUGAGGCAUGCUGGAGGUAUCAGAAGUGCGAAUGCUGACAUAAGUAACGAUAAAGCGGGUGAAAAGCCCGCUCGCCGGAAGACCAAGGGUUCCUGUCCAACGUUAAUCGGGGCAGGGUGAGUCGACCCCUAAGGCGAGGCCGAAAGGCGUAGUCGAUGGGAAACGGGUUAAUAUUCCCGUACUUGGUGUUACUGCGAAGGGGGGACGGAGAAGGCUAUGUUGGCCGGGCGACGGUUGUCCCGGUUUAAGCGUGUAGGUGUGUGUUCCAGGUAAAUCCGGUUCACUUUAACACUGAGGCGUGACGACGAGGCACUACGGUGCUGAAGCAACAAAUGCCCUGCUUCCAGGAAAAGCCUCUAAGCAUCAGGUAACAUCAAAUCGUACCCCAAACCGACACAGGUGGUCAGGUAGAGAAUACCAAGGCGCUUGAGAGAACUCGGGUGAAGGAACUAGGCAAAAUGGUGCCGUAACUUCGGGAGAAGGCACGCUGACACGUAGGUGAAGUGAUUUACUCAUGGAGCUGAAGUCAGUCGAAGAUACCAGCUGGCUGCAACUGUUUAUUAAAAACACAGCACUGUGCAAACACGAAAGUGGACGUAUACGGUGUGACGCCUGCCCGGUGCCGGAAGGUUAAUUGAUGGGGUCAGCGCAAGCGAAGCUCCUGAUCGAAGCCCCGGUAAACGGCGGCCGUAACUAUAACGGUCCUAAGGUAGCGAAAUUCCUUGUCGGGUAAGUUCCGACCUGCACGAAUGGCGUAAUGAUGGCCAGGCUGUCUCCACCCGAGACUCAGUGAAAUUGAACUCGCUGUGAAGAUGCAGUGUACCCGCGGCAAGACGGAAAGACCCCGUGAACCUUUACUAUAGCUUGACACUGAACAUUGAGCCUUGAUGUGUAGGAUAGGUGGGAGGCUUUGAAGUGUGGACGCCAGUCUGCAUGGAGCCGACCUUGAAAUACCACCCUUUAAUGUUUGAUGUUCUAACGUGGACCCGUUACCCGGGUUGCGGACAGUGUCUGGUGGGUAGUUUGACUGGGGCGGUCUCCUCCUAAAGAGUAACGGAGGAGCACGAAGGUUGGCUAAUCCUGGUCGGACAUCAGGAGGUUAGUGCAAUGGCAUAAGCCAGCUUGACUGCGAGCGUGACGGCGCGAGCAGGUGCGAAAGCAGGUCAUAGUGAUCCGGUGGUUCUGAAUGGAAGGGCCAUCGCUCAACGGAUAAAAGGUACUCCGGGGAUAACAGGCUGAUACCGCCCAAGAGUUCAUAUCGACGGCGGUGUUUGGCACCUCGAUGUCGGCUCAUCACAUCCUGGGGCUGAAGUAGGUCCCAAGGGUAUGGCUGUUCGCCAUUUAAAGUGGUACGCGAGCUGGGUUUAGAACGUCGUGAGACAGUUCGGUCCCUAUCUGCCGUGGGCGCUGGAGAACUGAGGGGGGCUGCUCCUAGUACGAGAGGACCGGAGUGGACGCAUCACUGGUGUUCGGGUUGUCAUGCCAAUGGCACUGCCCGGUAGCUAAAUGCGGAAGAGAUAAGUGCUGAAAGCAUCUAAGCACGAAACUUGCCCCGAGAUGAGUUCUCCCUGAGACUUAAAGUCUCCUGAAGGAACGUUGAAGACGACGACGUUGAUAGG
rnacentral:rRNA from 1 species